AGACAUCCAGCUUUGCUGAGGGCUGGUGACACUGAUAGAAGAUAGUUGCUCUAUGGAGAGAUACCUAAAUAGUAGGUUUUUCCUGGCUAUGUGCCCUCUUCUCAUCUGGAUUUCUACACGAGGCUUAUUUGGGUCACUGUGGCUGGGUCCAUUUCAUCUCCUGGAGUCUCAGUUCUCCUUCUAUGAAUUGGAAACAAUCACUAUUGGCUUCACUGUGAAAAAUGGACUCGUGAGUGGGGAUGCUGAACGCAGAAUAAAAAGGGAGGAGAGGAAAAAAGAGGGAAAGAGAAGUCAUUACUUACCUGUGCUGAAGGAGACUACACUGCAAUAUACGCCAAGCCCAAGGACAGUGAAAUGGCACAGUGCAGGUGUCAUUGCAAAUGGCUGUAGAAAGUAUAAUCUUUUGUGAAGAACUCCAUGGCCUCCAUUUGUCAGUUGCCAAACUUACCUGCAAUGCAGAUAAGUAAACCAUGAAAAGAUCACUUACUAGUAAAGCCUUCCUCCACCUCUCCCUUCCCUCCCAUAGCCAGCACGUUCCCAUUGAACACGUUCACAGACUUAGCCAACUUGUCUCUAUUGUCUGUCUGGUAAUUCACCUAUGGAAAAGGAGGUAUCAGAUGCUGUUCAACAGAAACUUGAAACUGAGCCUAAGUGUAAA
ensembl:lncRNA